UACGUAGGGUGCAAGCGUUGUCCGGAAUUAUUGGGCGUAAAGAGCUCGUAGGCGGUCUGUUACGUCGGCUGUGAAAACCUGGGGCUCAACUCCGGGCCUGCAGCCGAUACGGGCAGACUAGAGUUCGGCAGGGGAGACUGGAAUUCCUGGUGUAGCGGUGAAAUGCGCAGAUAUCAGGAGGAACACCGGUGGCGAAGGCGGGUCUCUGGGCAGUAACUGACGCUGAGGUGCGAAAGCGUGGGGAGCAAACAGG
rnacentral:rRNA from 1 species